GGGCGGUUGAGGGGUGGGUUCUGUGAGGGAAUCCAGUGAAUGACACUGGCGUAAGGUUAGCGACCAGCGAACGAGAGGGUUCUAGAGAUAUCCGACACCCUGGUUGGAGGAGCUUCAUCGGUUGAAAGGUCUGACCUGACUAGUCUUGGGUCGUGUUACACUCCUGACACGACCGAAUAACUCGCAGCUCUUCAGUAACGUCACCUACGUCCCAGGGCGACACGCGCAGUGUGUUUAUGUCUUUAUUCUACAGAAACGACACACUUUGUGACCGGAUACCAGCAAAGUUAUUAGCCACCCAGACAGACUGUCCUUUCAUUCAGGUUCGUAAUCUGGAAAGUAAAUUGUAAAUUAUACUUAAUUAUUAGCCAUGACGAUUUGCAUGUUGACAUUAGUUGGUAACAUGCGACAUCUUAAUGUGAAUAACAUGCGACAUCUUAAUGUAAAUAACGCUGUAAGGUGAAAGUUAAUUAGGUUAUGUGAUAUCGAGAGACUUCACUAGGCAUUUUCUGCUCAGGGGGCUUCACAUCACAAGGAAGGUGACGGGAAACAUUCUAAAAAGUGCUAAAGUGCUAAUUCAGCAGAUAGGAAGGUGAAGGGUUGUUCUUCCCCAAUGAACAUGCCCCC
ensembl:lncRNA